rnacentral:rRNA from 1 species
AACGAACGCUGGCGGCAUGCCUAACACAUGCAAGUCGAACGACACCUCCGUGUCUAGUUGCUCACGCGUGCGUAACGCGUGGGAACCUUCCCUUAUGUUCCGAAUAACUCCCCUACAUGGGUGCUAAUACCGGGUAAUGUCCUCUGACCCAUGAUUGAUCCUCUUGGUAUCGGCCCGAGUUGUUUUAACUAUUUGGUAGUGUAAAAGCCUACCAAGGCGAAGAUCCAUAGCUGGGAUGAGAGGAUGAUCAGCCACACUGGGACUGAGACCAGGCGCAGACUCCUAAGGGAGGCAGCAGUGGGGAACAUUGGACACUGGGCGAGAGAAUGAUCCAGCAAUGCUGUGUGAGUGAUGAAGGCAUUAGGGUUGUAAACCUCUUUUACCCGCGAUGAUAAUGAGGGUACCGGAGGAAUAAGCUCCGGCUAACUCCGU